GGUGACCUGAGGGGAGAAGGAACAAAAUGUCAGAUCUUCAGGUGAAUCUUAACGACUCGACAUCUGGCCGUGCCUCAGACUCACCAAUGACCCACUGGAUCCAGAUGACGUCAUAGCGCCCGUUCUCUGGAACAAAGUCCUGCAGGCCACAGCAGAAGUAGUGCCCCACCCUCUUUCCAUCCUCUCCUAGGUACGACUUGGCUUUGUCCAGGAACUCCUGUGUCACGUCCACCAGGUCCACGGUUUUGAAGAGUGGCAGCAGCAGGCGCUUGGUGAUCCUGCCGAUGCCGGCGCCGCAGUCCAGAGCGCAACCCGGACUGGUCGCCCCCUCGCCUUCCUUCAGAGACAAGUAAUGUAGUUUUUAUUUCUAUUGUUAUGAUUUUAGUGGCUGCUGUAUGUAAACUGCCUGUGAUGAUCUAUGGAUUGAACAGUGUUUAAGGUGCAAAUAAAUGUAUCACCACACAAAAAGUUAAAUAACAUAAUUGGAGGCUUAAAAAUCUAAAUUGCAGAGAUAGUUUUCUUAAUCAACUCCAGUUUAAAACACUUACAAAGGAGGUGAAGGAAGACCUGGACAAGGACAUCACGAUGGAAGAACUAUUGCAGUCCUUUAAUUGUAUCAACUCAGGCCUACCAAUAGAGCUCUAUAAAACUUUUCAGAAGCAGCUGUUGACCCCACUUUUAAAUAUGUUUAAUGAGUCAUUUAAUAAUGGCAUAUUACCACCAACUUUAAGACUCGCUACAAUAAUUCUUAUUUUGAAACCUGGGAAAAUACCAACUAACUGCUCCUCAUACAGGCCUAUUAGUCUUAUGGGAGUAGACACAAAACUAUUGCGUAAAGUCCUUGCUAAAAGGCUAGAUCCAUAUAUCCCUUCUUUGGUACAUUGUGAUCAGAAUGGGUUCGUACAGAAUCGUCAGGGAUUUCAUAACAUUAGAAGGGUCCUCAAUAUAAUUCACUCUAAAACUAAUACCAGGGAUACAGCACUUCUUUCUCUAGAUGCUAGACAAGCGUUUGAUAGAAUCAAAUGGCCUUAUUUGUUUGAUUUGUUACCAAGAUAAGGACUUGGGGGAACAUUUUUGAAAUGGAUAAAGUUAUUGUACACUUAUCCUACAGCAUGUGUAAGAACGAAUAACAUUUUAUCAGGCCCGUUAAGGUCAGAGAGGUCAACCCGCCAGGGCUGUCCCCUCUCCCCAUUAUUGUUUAUUUUGGCCAUUGAGCCUUUAGCCGUGUCCAUUAGAGCUGAAGCCAAUCUAUCAGGUAUAACAAUUGGAGGUCAUGACCAUAGGAUAUCGCUGUAUGCAGAUGACGUGAUUCUUUUUUUGUCAAACUUAUCAAACAGUGUCCAGACGUUAUUGCAUUUAAAUAAUAAAUUUGGUCAGUUUUCUGGAUACAGUAUUAAUAAUGAAAAAUCUUUUAUACUUUUCUUGAAUGAAGAAGAGAGAAAUAAUCCGGUUAUAGAUACACCUAUUUUAGUGUGAGGGAGGGGUUUACCUGUCUUGGGAUCAAGAUUACUCCCCAAAUGAAUACAGUUGUUGAAGCAAACUAUGACCCACUGAUGAGAGAGGUACAAGAUUUACUUGAAAAAUGGACGACAAUGCCAAUAUCAAUGAUUGGCCGGAUCAACUUAAUUAAGAUGACUAUCUUGCCAAAAUUCUUAUAUUUGUUUCAGUCACUCCCAUUACCAUUGCCAAAACAUUUUUUUAAAGACAUUAAUAGUGCGUUUUGUAGAUUUAUCUAGAGGUAAAAACCUAGAUUAAGACUAAAAUUUCUAUAUUUGCCAUAUGAUAGGGGUGGAUUACAGUUGCCCAAUCUACAGUGGUAUUAUUGGGCUGCUCAGCUACGCAGUGCUAUGUUUUACUUUGUCACACACUCUCCUCUAGCAUGUGUUUCUAUUGAACAAGCAUCAGUAUCUAAGUUGCCAUUAAGCCUAUACUUAAGCCUAUACCUAUAUUCAGCAGAUUUUAAAACUUUAAAGAAAAAAACAACAAAUCCCUUUCUUAAAAACUCUAUUGAUAUUUGGUUUAGGGCUCAUAGACAUAUUGGUGAUACACCCCCCAUCUCUCAAUUUUCACCUGGGAUAAUGGGCAGUUCACUCCUGGCAGGACAGAUGGUGGUUUUCGGGCUUGGGCCGACAGGGGGAUACGAAAAAUUGGAGACUUAUAUGUUCAGGGCAAUUUAUUAACAUUUAACAACCUUUGUGUGAAAUAUUCAAUCCCAAAAAAACACUUUUUUAAAUAUUUACAGUUAAGGCACUUCAUUUUAUCAAGGUGUCACCAGGCUACGCAUGAGCCGCCGCUGUCCUGUCUUGAGGGUAUCAUGUUAAAACACAUGAAUGGGAGAUGGCAAAUUUCUACACUCUAUACAGCAUGAUGAGGAAUCUAGUCAUGAUAGAAGGAGGGCAUGGAGUUUGGAUAUUUAGGAAGAUAUUGAAGAAGCUGAGUGGGCGAAAGCGAGUUUAAAAGCUCAAUCGCAAACCAUUAAUACUCGAAUGAAACUGUUACAACACAAAUGGUUAAUGAGGACAUACAUAACCCCUGAGAAACUCAACAAGUGGUCCCCUGGCAUUCCAGAUACAUGUGUGAAAUGUUUGACUGAGAAAGGUACUUUAAUUCAUUGUGUAUGGGAAUGCCCGAAAUUGGUAGCUUUUUGGAAAAUGGUUGCCUGAACUUUAAGUUUACUUACAGGCACUCAGGUACCCUGCGUAGCUAAACUUUGUAUUUUGGGAUAAACCCAGAUUGCUUUUCUGUUAACUCUAAGUGUAAGACGUUGAUCAACUUUGGCCUCCUGCAGGCCAGGAGGAUGGUUGCAUUAUCUACAUGAGAAACUAAAGUAUCCUCUACACAAUCUUGGAUUAGGGAGAUGGCAAGUUGUGUUACAUUCAAGAAAUGCAUCAGUUUUAAUGGAAAGACUUGGAAAGGACAAAUAUGGCUGAUAAUCCUUAUUUUAGUUCGUCUUUAGGGUUCAGGAAACACCGAGCUGACAGUUGACUGUCUUGCCAUUGACGACCAUCUGAGGGCCACACAAUAGCAUCAGUGGCUUUCUGCCAAUUCAGCUGGACGUCAGUGGGAAAAAACUCACUCAAGAAACACAGGAGAAAAACCCCAUUGACACACAGUGGGGCAAAAACAAUUUUUUUCACAAUGUGUGAAAUGUGGUGAUAAUUUAGGAUAUAAUUGGAUUUUCUUACUCCGAGGAACUUGUGCAGAAAUGCUUUGGAUCCGUUGAGAUCGAUGGUGGAGAUGGUGCCGUAGCCUCCCAGCAUCCCAUCCACUGUGGGGGGAACCUCCUUCCAGUAACCCUCAGCGUUGGAGUAGAAGCUCGCCUCAUUCUGUGCGAUGUCACCCAUCCUGUCAGAGUCCACAGGAAAUGAGUUUUACCCGAACGAAAAGGAACAAGCAAAAAUGAAACAAGCAAAGAUAAACUGGUCCAAAGUGAACUUUCUACCCGCACUGACCUGGUCUCGUGUCACCACCGCCUCCUCCUCCUCAUCAGCCCGGGUUCUCCGGUAUCCGCCGCCGGUCCCUGCGUCACUUUCCAAUUUGAGACACAGACGACGUCAUAUCCUUAUUUGGUUCAGAGGAGAAGCAACAGCUCCCCCUGCUGGAGGCUCUUACAAACUGACUGACCCAGUGAUGAACAUGAUGGCUGGAUGAAUGUCAUUACCUCCAGUCACCAGUGGGAGGAGCUUUAGUGCUGAACAAACUGGCAACUCAGCAACAUCAGUUCCUCUGGAGGACUUCUUUAUUCUGUGCAUUUCUGACCUGAACACACAGCAGGCUGCAUGUAGGAAGGAGACA